CCAUCAUAUAAUAUAUGUUAUUAUUUAUAUUACAAAAGAAAUAAAAUGAGAAACUCUUAUUCUUCAUCUUCAUCCCAUGCUGUGUUCUUGAUGCUCCUCCUUCUCCUUGCCAUGAGGGAGAUGGCGAGGCCAUGUGAGGGGAGGACAUGCCAGUCGAAGAGCCAUCGGUUCCAUGGACCAUGCAUUAAUGACCACAACUGUGCAGAGACUUGUCGAAACGAAGCCUAUACCGGUGGCCACUGCGAAGGAUUUCGCCGUCGCUGUUUCUGCACUAAAGCCUGUUAGCUAGCUGUCUUGAAUGUCAAUGUCAAUGCAAAUAUCGAUGCAACUUUUUUAUGAAAAUCUAUAUAAAAUAUAUCAUAUUUCUCACCGUUGAGGAUGAGAAUAUAGUAUCACCCCCUUUUAAUUCCCACAUUCCCUACUUCUCACCCUUAUGUCGGAGGAAGGUUAAAUUAUAAAAUUAUAAAUUUCGUCAACUUCCUUUUAAUAAA